AGUCAUCCUACGUGGCAUACAUGUGACGAUUACGCAUCAAAUAACUAAUCGUCACAUGUAUGUCACGUAAGACGAUUGC
rnacentral:miRNA from 1 species